rnacentral:rRNA from 1 species
CCCUUGUCGAGAAGGGCUCUUAAAGGGGAUUGCGCUGUUAUCCCUAGGGUAACUCGGUCCGUUGUUCGGCAAUGCGGAUCUUAUGGUCAGAUGUUCUGUUUCUUAGAGCGGGAGCUCUUGGCUGUGGAAAAGUGCUUCCAGUCCUCAUGGGGGUUUUUUAUUUCCCCGCGGUCGCCCCAACCAAAGACAAAAAACAGGUUACUUUCGGUUAGUCCUUUAUAAGGGGUGCUUAGCAAGGUCUGUUUUUGUCUAAAGCUCCAUAGGGUCUUCUCGUCUUAUGGUAUUAUUCCCGCCUCUGCACGGGAAGAUCAAUUUCAUUGACUUGGAAGAGGAGACAGUUAAGCCUUCGUUGUGCCAUUCAUACAGGUCUUCAUUUAAAAGACAAUUGAUUGCGCUACCUUUGCACGGUCAGAA